UACGUAGGGGGGCUAGCGUUGUCCGGAAUCAUUGGGCGUAAAGCGCGUGUAGGCGGUCCGGUAAGUCCGCUGUGAAAGUCGGGGGGCUCAACCCUCGGAUGCCGGUGGAUACUGUCGGGCUCGAGUCCGGAAGGGGCGAGUGGAAUUCCUGGUGUAGCGGUGAAAUGCGCAGAUAUCAGGAGGAACACCAAUUGCGAAGGCAGCUCGCUGGGACGUUACUGACGCUGAGACGCGAAAGCGUGGGGAGCAAACAGG
rnacentral:rRNA from 1 species